rnacentral:rRNA from 1 species
GACGAACGCUGGCGGCGUGCUUAACACAUGCAAGUCGAACGGAAAGGCCCUGCUUUUGUGGGGUGCUCGAGUGGCGAACGGGUGAGUAACACGUGAGUAACCUGCCCUUGACUUUGGGAUAACUUCAGGAAACUGGGGCUAAUACCGGAUAGGGGCUCCUGCUGCAUGGUGGGGGUUGGAAAGUUUCGGCGGUUGGGGAUGGACUCGCGGCUUAUCAGCUUGUUGGUGGGGUAGUGGCUUACCAAGGCUUUGACGGGUAGCCGGCCUGAGAGGGUGACCGGCCACAUUGGGACUGAGAUACGGCCCAGACUCCUACGGGAGGCAGCAGUGGGGAAUAUUGCACAAUGGGCGGAGGCCUGAUGCAGCAACGCCGCGUGCGGGAUGACGGCCUUCGGGUUGUAAACCGCUUUCGCCUGUGACGAAGCGUGAGUGACGGUAAUGGGUAAAGAAGCACCGGCUAACUACGUG